CGCCGCGCCUGCGCAGUUCAGAUCCGGAGCGUCAGCGGGCCCACCCAGCGCCUCCUGCUCUCCGCCUCGCAGAACUAGGGCCCGACUAAGGGCGGAGCAGCAGACGGGACUGAGUGGGGACCUCGGGGGACGUGGCAACGGGAGUUUCUUCUCUGUAUAUUUCAGCAUUCAGAUCCUUUUUUUUUUUUUUCCACUCAGGAAAAGAUGUCAAUUGCAUUUAGUAUUUUGAAAGCCACUUUAUUGCUUCCCGAGCCUCAGUCAUGUGUGGUGGGAGGCAGCUGUGGGGGGCACCAGGGGCGUCCAGGGCCGCCAAGGCCAGGGGUACGUUAGGCCCUGCUUGCUCCCACCCCUUCCAGGUGCCCGCCUGAGAGCUCCCGGGCACGCCCAUCCUUGGCUCUUCGUCCUCUUGGUUUUCUUCCCCGUUGCUUCAAAUCAGGUCCCUGUCUCAAAAACCCCGAAAAAGAAAUACUCUCAAAUAACUCUGCCCGACGCUCCGUGAAGGCAUCGUGCUAGGCGUUCUCAAACUCGUGGAACGACUACACUGCACAGGUUAUCCUCAUUGCUUCUCUGCUCCUUGCCUCCUAAUUCUCUGGUUAAACUUCCGCCCCCGAAGUUUCUAGAAAUCCCUGAGCUAGAAUGCGCAGCCUUCAUUAACAGGGUGGUUCUGCUUCCGUCUGCUCACAUUCAUCUAGUAAGCCCUCGCAUUAAAGAGGAGGCGGCGCACCGAGGCCUGCCUAGAUCUUUCCUUCAACUAAUAAUGUCUAACCUACAAGAAACUGGAGCCGUGGCAGUUUAGAAGCCUGCCAAGGUUGCAUCCCUGGGAACUUAUUUUCUGUUGUGGGAGACAGGAAAAGAACAAGUGAAUCAACUGAAAUUAAAAAAUUCCGACUUAAAGCUGUUGGAACUUGAAAUUAUUCAGAGCCUUGCGAAGAAUGUGGCUACGGGGCCUGAGUCCUAUGGCGUACAGCUGCAAUGUCUGCCUUGUUUUUUCCUGUAAAUAAUCAGGAAGACCAAACAGAGACAGAGUUCUGGUUAAAUCACACAAGGAAACAUUGCCCUGGCAUGAGACCAAGAAGUCACAGAGCCCAGGUCUUCCAGAGUGUGAAAGAAGACAUGAAGGCAUCAGGGACACUGUGCAAGUGGGUGCUGUUGGUUUCCACUGCUCUCUCCAGACUGCAGCCAGGAGGCUGCCUCUGCCCUGCCAGGUGAAAUAUAGUUAACACGAAGGUGAAAUAUAGUUGAAAUGAAUGCCAAGGGCAACCUGGAAAGGGAAAAGAAGCAUCAAACAAUUGAAUUUUGUCAAAGGAGCAUAAAUGAGGAAAGGUGCACACACCAAGAAAGGCCAUGUGAGCACGCAGCAAGAUGUUGCCUGUCUGCAAGCUAGGAAAAGAGCCCUCACCAGGAACUAAAACAGCUGGCACGUUGAUGUUGGACUUUACAGCCUCCACAACUGUGAUAGAAAUUGCAUUGACAUGAGGAAUUAAGGAAAAAAAAAAAAAAAAAAAACAUGGAGCCGUAUUCUCCAGAAGCUUACAUCUAAGGAGAUAGAGAUCCAGUCUGCCAAGUUCUGCAAACUCAUCUGACAACAGAACUCUUUUUCAAUGAAAUAUCUCAAGGGAUUUGUGCUCCAUGGGACAGAAGAUGAGAAGGGCUGACACAAGAUUCUCACCUAGUGAAAAAAAAACUGUUGUGUGGCCCAGUCUGUGGGAAGAUCUAAACUAAAUGAGACAUUGCAGUUGUGACUUGACUGAACCUAAUCCUUGAAAGUGAAGAUGUUUAUUAAUACCUGAAAGUAACUGGAAAGCCACAGCAAGUCAUCCAAGGGUAGAGAAAGGAAAUUCAGCAGACCUUGCACAAAGAAAAUGCCAGCCGCCAGAAGCUUCUUACUCCUUGGAGACCUUGGAGUCGAGGAUGAAAUGUCUUGCAACUGUGGAGAGACCUAGGCUUUUCCAAAGCCUACCAGGGUCCAGACAUUCCAGGAGAUGCUGAUGCUACUGGUCUUUGAGAGCUGCUGACUUACAAUGUAUGACAGGUAAAUAGGGUUCAUUCUCCAGCCACCUCUCAUCUACCAAAGAAAGUGCAGGCUCCUGUGGCACGUAAAGGACGGAGGCAACAGUUCUGCUGGAAGGUCACGCCAUGUGAAUGUGCCUAUUAGCUGCAUUACAGUCCAAGCAAAGAUGUAUCUACCCAGCUGAUUGGAUGCAAUGCACUCAGCAGAAUGAUGCAUUUUCCUAGACCUAAUCAUUAGCCCAAGCGCCGCCCACCUCCACUAUCACUGCCAACUUCAAGACUAAUUUUCUAAAUUAAUCACUACAUUUUCCAGGCCUGCUCUGGAUACAGCCUUGGAACCCUUCUAAAUAUAGUGCUCCAUGUAGCCACUGCCAAUCAAUCUGAGUUGGCACUUCAGUUGAAACUACUUGUUAUCUCUGCUUGUGGCUUCAGUGUAGGGGUAUAUUUUGUUGUCAUGUUAUAGCUAAAUUGAACUAGAAGGAACAUGGCAUGUUUUGAAGAAGUUUUAGAAAAUAUAGGAUGAGGAAGAUAUUAAUGUCAAGGAUGUUGCCUUUCCCUGCCUUGUCACUAAGAAAAUUGCUAUUCUAGAAUAAAUGUUGAGUUCUUUUUACUUAAAAAGAAUCAUUUUACCACCGAGUGAAUUAAUGAAGUUUUCUUUGGGUGUAAAAUGUUUUAUUUAUUCCAUCUUAAUCAGAUUGAUAUUUGGAAGUUAACUUUAGACAUAAUUCACAUUCCAUAGAAUUCACCCGUUUAAUACAAUUCAGAGGUUUUUAGCAUAUUCACAAAGUUGUGCACCAUCACCACUAUCUAAUUCCAGAACAUUUUCACCAUAACCCCAAAAGGAAACCCUGUAUCGAUUAGCAGUCACCCCUCAUUCUCCCGACCCCCAACCUCUGGAAACCACUGAUCUACUUUCUGUUUGCCUGAACUUGCCUAUUCUGGAAACUUUAUAUGAAUAGAAUUAUAUAAUAUGUG